rnacentral:lncRNA from 1 species
GAUGCUGAAACAAAAUAAGUCCAGAAGCUUCAUCAGUGCUGUCGAAAAGGCUGUGGAUGAAUUUGGCACCCGUGUGAGGCUGAAGCUCUCGUGCACAUGCUUUCUACCAGAAGAUGAAGAAGGGGCUGUAAAGCCUGAAGAAGGGGCUGUAAAGCCUGAAGAAGGGGCAAAGGUCUCUGUUUUGGAGGAACUCAGUGAAGUUUCGAGCGGUUUAUUUGAAGCCGAGAAAUUUCUCCAUCAUCUAAAAUGCGUUGCCCUUGCUACUUCUGUGCCUAG